rnacentral:rRNA from 1 species
AUUGAUUUUAUGCUUGCAUAAAUGAUUUUUUGGAUUCGGAGCGAGUGGCGAACUGGUGAGUAACACGUGGGUAACCUGCCCCGAAGCGGGGGAUAACAUUUGGAAACAAGUGCUAAUACCGCAUAAUUAGUUGGAACCGCAUGGUUCCAACUUGAAAGAUGGCUCUGCUAUCACUUUGGGAUGGACCCGCGCCGUAUUAGUUAGUUGGUGAGAUAAAAGCCCACCAAGACGAUGAUACGUAGCCGACCUGAGAGGGUAAUCGGCCACAUUGGGACUGAGACACGGCCCAGACUCCUACGGGAGGCAGCAGUAGGGAAUCUUCCACAAUGGACGAAAGUCUGAUGGAGCAACGCCGCGUGAGUGAUGAAGGUUUUCGGAUCGUAAAACUCUGUUGUUAAAGAAGAACAAGUGUUAGAGUAACUGUUAACACUUUGACGGUAUUUAACCAGAAAGCCACGGCUAACUACGUGCCAGCAGCCGCGGUAAUACGUAGGUGGCAAGCGUUGUCCGGAUUUAUUGGGCGUAAAGCGAGCGCAGGCGGUUUUGUAAGUCUGCUGUGAAAGCCCUCAGCUCAACUGAGGAAGUGCAGUGGAAACUACAAAACUUGAGUACAGAAGAGGAAAGUGGAACUCCAUGUGUAGCGGUGAAAUGCGUAGAUAUAUGGAAGAACACCAGUGGCGAAGGCGGCUUUCUGGUCUGUUACUGACGCUGAGGCUCGAAAGCAUGGGUAGCGAACAGGAUUAGAUACCCUGGUAGUCCAUGCCGUAAACGAUGAAUACUAGGUGUUGGAGGGUUUCCGCCCUUCAGUGCCGCAGCUAACGCAUUAAGUAUUCCGCCUGGGGAGUACGACCGCAAGGUUGAAACUCAAAGGAAUUGACGGGGGCCCGCACAAGUGGUGGAGCAUGUGGUUUAAUUCGAUGCUACGCGAAGAACCUUACCAGCUCUUGACAUCUUCUGCCAACCCAAGAGAUUGGGCGUUCCCUUCGGGGACAGAAUGACAGGUGGUGCAUGGUUGUCGUCAGCUCGUGUCGUGAGAUGUUGGGUUAAGUCCCGCAACGGGCGCAACCCUUAUUAUUAGUUGCCAGCAUUUAGUUGGGCACUCUAGUGAGACUGCCGGUGAUAAA